GACUGGCAUUGGUUGGAAUCUGAGCUGGAAAAACUCUGGGAGAAAUAAUAGCAGCAAGUAUUUCUGUGUACUCAAAAGAAUUGUGUGGACCCAUCUGCACAGUCCCCCCAGUUUCUGCAGGGCAAAGGAAAUCCUUUUGAACAAGAUGAUUCAGAACAGAGGAAAACAACAUGUCAUGUAAACAACUAUGUGAGUCUGGAAGCCAUCUCAUGAGCUUGAGAGAACCUAUGUUGAGAUCAUGGGUUGAAGACAUAUAUUCCUAAGUUUUCCCUCUACAGAGAGGAUGUGGAGGCAUCAGGGUUCAUGGGGAGCCUCCCCUCUGAAGUCCACAAGCAUCUCCACCUCCAUGGAACUCAAAUCCACACAGAAGCCAACCACCUUUGCCUUUUCUUUAUAUAAAGUCUAUAGAAGUAAUGGAUUUCUGAAUAAAUGGUGUUCCUCUA